rnacentral:lncRNA from 1 species
UGUUUGGAGAAAGAGGAUGACAGGCAGCCCUUCAGGAAUGCCUUUCCACACGGGUGAAUCUUUCUACACAGUUGUACCAAGAUUCGGGUGACCUCACAUGGAAACCUUAAAUGGCUCCCACUCCUCAUCAUUCAUCUGAGUGUCUGCCAUAUGCAGUAUACUUCAGCAACUAUGGCUCCAAAGGCAGGCCAGGAGGGACAGACAUCCCAGCUGGAAGAUGCAACUGAGAUGAUCUGGUAGGAGCCUGUCUUCAAGGGAGGGCAUGCCAGCCAAUCACACAGCACUCAUCUAAGCCCUCCUUGAGAACUGCACACAGCUAUGCCACACAGAGAAGGCCUUUAC